AUGAGGCUCCCUGCUCAGCUCCUGGGGCUGCUAAUGCUAUGGGUCCCUGGGUCCAGUGGGGAUAUUAUGAUGACCCAAACUCCACUCUCCCUGCUCGUCACCCCUGGAUAGCUGGCCUCCAUCUCCUUCUGCAGGUCUAGUCACAGCCUUGUAUACAGGGGGGAAUAAACCUAUUUGGUACCUGCAGAAGCCAGGCCAGUCUCUACAGCUCCUGAUCUAUUUGGUUUUGAACCGGGCCUCUGCAGUCCCAGACAGGCUCAGUGGCAGUGGGUCAGGCACUGAUUUCACACUGAAAAUCAGCCGGGUGGAGGCUGAAGAUGUUGGGGUUUAUCACUGCAUGCAAGCUCUACAAACUCCUCC
rnacentral:lncRNA from 1 species